UUUAUUAAUAGAGACGAUGAUUUACAUUCUGUUAUUUGGGCACUUUGGAAUGUAAUGAGUCAGUAGUGCAACCGGCUUAAAAG
rnacentral:ncRNA from 2 species